rnacentral:rRNA from 1 species
GUCUACGGCCAUACUACCCUGAACAAGCCCGAUCCCGUCUGAUCUCAGAAGCUGAGCAGGGUCGGGCCUGGUUAGUACUUGGAUGGGAGGCCACCUAGGAAGACCAGGUGCUGUAGGCA